CAGUCGCCGCGGUAAUACGAAGGGGGCUAGCGUUGCUCGGAAUGACUGGGCGUAAAGGGCGCGUAGGCGGUUUGUACAGUUGGAUGUGAAAUUCCUGGGCUUAACCUGGGGGCUGCAUUCAAUACGUGCAGGCUUGAGUGGGGAAGAGGGUCGUGGAAUUCCCAGUGUAGAGGUGAAAUUCGUAGAUAUUGGGAAGAACACCGGUGGCGAAGGCGGCGACCUGGUCCUUGACUGACGCUGAGGCGCGAAGGCGUGGGGAGCAAACAGGAUUAGAUACCCGCGUAGUCCCUGUCUCUUAUAC
rnacentral:rRNA from 1 species